UUUCUUUUCUUUUUCUUUCCUCUCACUCAGCGUCCUGUGAUUCCAAAGAAAUGAGUCUCUGCUGUUUUUGGGCAGCAGAUAUCCUAGAAUGGACUCUGACCUAAGCAUCAAAAUUAAUCAUCAUAACGUUAUCAUUUUAUGGCCCCUUCUUCCUAUAUCUGGUAGCUUUUAAAUGAUGACCAUGUAGAUAAUCUUUAUUGUCCCUCUUUCAGCAGACGGUAUUUUCUUAUGCUACAGUAUGACUGCUAAUAAUACCUACACAUGUUAGAACCAUUCUGACUCCUCAAGAAUCUCAUUUAACUCUUAUUAUCAGUGAAUUUAUCAUCAUCCCCUAUUUUACAUAAGGAAAUGGGGUUAGAAAGACCAAAUAACAUUUUUUCAACAUCAAAACACUAGCUUGAGAUCAAGCCCAGACUUGGAUCUGUCGUCUGAAUUCCAAGCUUUUUGUUAUUUAUUGAUAUGUUUUGUUGUUUUCAUGCAAUAAUGCAAAUAUUAGCCCAAACAUUUUGUUAGUAGUACCAACUGUAAGUCACCUUAUCUUCAUACUUUGUCUUUAUGUAAACCUAAAUUAGAUCUGUUUUUGAUACUGAGGGAAAAACAAGGGAAUCUAACACUAACCAGCCCGUAGUGUGUGGUCAACACUUUCGUUACUUUAGUAUACAUCACCCCAAUUGUUUGUCUUCACCACACACUUUGGAGUUAGGUAGUAGUAUCUAUUUUUACAAAUAAGAAAACCCAGGCACAAAGGGGUUGAUUAGCAAUUAUCUUUUGAAAAGCCUGUAGUUGCUCAUCUGAAGAAGUGACGGACCACCUCUUAUUUAGUGGACAGACAGUAACUAGUUGAGAAGACAGGGGAUUUUGUUGGCGGAAAAAAAAUUUUAUCAAAAGUCGUCUUCUAUCAGGGAGUUUUAUGAGAAACCCUAGCUCCUCAGUUCCACAGUGGGUAACUGUAAUUCAUUCUAGGUCUGCGAUAUUUCCUGCCUAUCCAUUUUGUUAACUCUUCAAUGCAUUCCACAAAUACCUAAGUAUUCUUUAAUAAUGGUGGGUUUUUUUUUUUUUUUGCAUCUAUGAAGUUUUUUCAAAUUCUUUUUAAGUGACAAAACUUGUACAUGUGUAUCGCUCAAUAUUUCUAGUCGACAGCACUGCUUUCGAGAAUGUAAACCGUGCACUCCCAGGAAAAUGCAGACACAGCACGCCUCUUUGGGACCGCGGUUUAUACUUUCGAAGUGCUCGGAGCCCUUCCUCCAGACCGUUCUCCCACACCCCGCUCCAGGGUCUCUCCCGGAGUUACAAGCCUCGCUGUAGGCCCCGGGAACCCAAAGCGGUGUCAGAGAAGUGGGGUCCCCUACGAGGGACCAGGAGCUCCGGGCGGGCAGCAGCUGCGGAAGAGCCGCGCGAGGCUUCCCAGAACCCGGCAGGGGCGGGAAGACGCAGGAGUGGGGAGGCGGAACCGGGACCCCGCAGAGCCCGGGUCCCUGCGCCCCACAAGCCUUGGCUUCCCUGCUAGGGCCGGGCAAGGCCGGGUGCAGGGCGCGGCUCCAGGGAGGAAGCUCCGGGGCGAGCCCAAGACGCCUCCCCGAGCGCGGCUCCAGGACCCCGUCGACCCGGAGCGCUGUCCUGUCGGGCCGAGUCGCGGGCCUGGGCACGGAACUCACGCUCACUCCGAGCUCCCGACGUGCACACGGCUCCCAUCCGUUGUCUUCCGAGCGUCAGGCCGCCCCUACCCGUGCUUUCUGCUCUGCAGACCCUCUUCCUAGACCUCCGUCCUUUGUCCCAUCGCUGCCUUCCCCUCAAGCUCAGGGCCAAGCUGUCCGCCAACCUCGGCUCCUCCGGGCAGCCCUCGCCCGGGGUGCGCCCCGGGGCAGGACCCCCAGCCCACGCCCAGGGCCCGCCCCUGCCCUCCAGCCCUACGCCUUGACCCGCUUUCCUGCGUCUCUCAGCCUACCUGACCUUGUCUUUACCUCUGUGGGCAGCUCCCUUGUGAUCUGCUUAGUUCCCACCCCCCUUUAAGAAUUCAAUAGAGAAGCCAGACGCAAAACUACAGAUAUCGUAUGAGUCCAGUUUUGUGAAGUGCCUAGAAUAGUCAAAAUUCACAGAGACAGAAGCAGUGGUCGCCAGGAAUGGGGAAGCAAGGCGGAGUUGGGCAGCUCGUGUUCAAUGGGUAGAGUUUCAGGCUGGGGUGAUGGAAGGGUGCUGGAAAUGAGUGGUAGUGAUGGCGGCACAACGGUGUGAAUCUACUUAAUCCCACUGAACUGUAUGCUGAAAAAUGGUUUAGACGGUGAAUUUUAGGUUAUGUAUGUUUUACCACAAUUUUUAAAAAGCUAGUGAAAAGCUGGUAAAAAGAAAGAAAAGAGGCUUUUUUAAAAAGUUAAAUAUAUAAAAAGAGCAUCAUCAGUCCAAAGUCCAGCAGUUGUCCCUCCUGGAAUCCGUUGGCUUGCCUCCGGCAUUUUUGGCCCUUGCCUUUUAGGGUUGCCAGAUUAAAAGACAGGAUGCCCAGCUAGUUUGAAUUUUAGAUAAACAACGAAUAAUUUCGUAGCAUAAAUAUGUCCCAAGCUUAGUUUGGGACAUACUUAUGCUAAAAAACAUUAUUGGUUGUUUAUCUGAGAUUCAGAAUUAAGCAUUUUAUAUUUUAUUUGCUGCCUCUGGCCACCCUACUCUCUUCCUAACACUCUCUCCCUCUCCCAGUUUUGUCCGCCUUCCCUGCCUCCUCUUCUGGGGGAGUUAGAUCGAGUUGUAACAAGAACAUGCCACUGUCUCGCUGGCUGCAGCGUGUGGUCCCCUUACCAGAGUGAGGAUGCGAAGAGAAGGUGGCUGUCUGCAAACCAGGAAGAGAGCCCUCACCAGGAACCUGUCCAGCUGCCACCUUGAACUUGGACUUCCAAGCCUCCAGAACUGUGAGGGAUAAAUGUAUGAUUUUAAAGUC
rnacentral:lncRNA from 1 species